UUACUAAUAAUUUUGGACACCUUGAAUAUGAAGAGGUUUCAAUUUUCAGAAAGCCAGCCUAUUCCAACAGCCCCAGUUGUACCCAGAAGGCAACAUUCAACUUUCAAUCCACUCUAGGCUGGGCUUGGUUAAAGCCGGUGAGGGGGGACAUUGCUACUGACUCCCUUGCUAGCACUGAGAAACUCUGCCUGCUGCAUGAUCACACCUUCUAUGAACCUCCCACACCCACUGCAUGACU
rnacentral:lncRNA from 1 species